GUAGGAGGCAAGCGUUAUCCGGAUUCACUGGGCGUAAAGCGCGUGCAGGUGGCGCGGUAAGUUGGGCGUGAAAUCUCCCGGCUCAACUGGGAGAGGUCGUUCAAUACUACCGUGCUUGAGAGCAGAAGAGGAAGAUGGAAUUCCCGGUGUAGUGGUGAAAUGCGUAGAUAUCGGGAGGAACACCAGUGGCGAAGGCGAUCUUCUGGUCUGUUUCUGACACUCAGACGCGACAGCUAGGGUAGUAAACAGGAUUAGAUACCCUGGUAGUCCACGCCCUAAACGAUGUCAACUGGUUGUUGGGUCUUUACUGACUCAGUAACGAAGCUAACGCGUGAAGUUGACCGCCUGGGGAGUACGGCCGCAAGGUUG
rnacentral:rRNA from 1 species